rnacentral:lncRNA from 1 species
UAAUUUUUUUUCUCUUUAAAUUUUACAGAACUAUAGCCAUCUACCGAAAGCAGAUAUUUUUGCUCUUGCUCUCACAGUCGUAUGUGCUGCUGGUGCUGAACCCCUUCCCAGAAAUGGAGACCAGUGGCAUGAAAUCCGACAGGGUCGAUUACCUCGGAUUCCACAAGUGCUUUCCCAGGAGUUGACAGAGUUGCUAAAAGUUAUGAUUCAUCCUGAUCCAGAGAGAAGACCUUCAGCAAUGGUGCUGGUGAAGCAUUCAGUGUUGCUGUCUGCCUCUAGAAAGAGCGCAGAGCAGUUACGAAUAGAAUUGAAUGCUGAAAAAUUCAAAAAUUCUCUUUUGCAGAAGUAAGGGUUUAUUGUUUUUACUCUGCCUUUCUCAUUGAUUCUCAGAUUUUAAGAGAUCAUUUAGGGUUUUUGCUAAACUUUGUAAUUUUGUGCGAGAGAACCAAAGUGAGGCAGUGACUUAGGAGGACUGGACCCCGGCCACUUGUACAACACUGAGCACAGAGGCCGGUCUAUAGUCUCAGUGCUGGCAAGGCAGAAAUAGGUGGUUUCCUACCAGCUCAGCUGAAUCAUGACGCUCC